AUGGCCUGGGCUGCUGUCCUCCUUGUUCUCCUGUCUCACUGCUCAGGUUCCCUCUCCCAGCCUGUGCUGACUCAGCCACCCUCCCUCUCGGCAUCUCCUGGAUCAUCAGCCAGACUCACCUGCACCCUAAGAAGUGGCAUCAAUGUUGGUAGCUACUGGAUAUUCUGGUACCAACAGAAGCCAGAGAGCCCUCCCCGGUAUCUCCUGAGUUACUACACAGACUCAAAUAAGCACCAGGGCUCUGGGGUCCCCAGCCGCUUCUCUGGAUCUAAAGAUGCCUCAGCCAAUGCAGGGAUCCUGCACAUCUCUGGGCUGCAGGCUGAAGACGAGGCUGACUAUUACUGUGAAAUAUGGUACAGCAAUGCUUCUCACAGUGACACAAGCAAAUGGGGAAGGAUCCCUGGUCACUUCUGUGGCUCCAAGCCUGGUUACACGGCCUCCCUGACCAUUUCAGGAGUACAGGCUGAGGACGAGGCUGACUAUUACUGUUUAGGAUGGGAUGACAGCCUGAAUGUUGACACAGUGCUCCUGACUCAUGGGGAACUGAGACAAAAACCUGCCCCUGCUCCACUGUGA